UAAAUAUUCUGCAUCUUUUCCUCUCUUUUUUCCUGCUAUUUGAUUCUUAGAGUUCCAUUUCAUUUUAGGUAAUCGAUUUCGUUCGUAGGAGCUGGUUUUCUUGUUUUGGGAAAUGGCCAUGUCUCCUCGAUAAGGAUUAUUAUUGUUAUUUCUUUUUCCUGGUAGAACAGGUAGUUUUUAUGUGAAAGAUUCGAUAUUAUGGAGCAAACGCAAGGUUUGAAAGUGUCAGAUUGGAUUUUGAUUGUGUAAAUUAAGCUUCGCUUAUAUUUAUGUGACUAUGCCUGGAGUCCCAACAUUAUGGGUGACAAGAGGAGGGGAAUUUGUGUGGAUGGUUUGGUCAUUUUGUGGAGAGAGAGAGAGAGAUGUUUGGGUUGUGCCAAGAAAAAUGUGGCUUGAGCUAAUAAGGAAGGGCCGAUAACAUGUGAGUUAACAUCACGCAUGGUCCUCGGUAGAGUGGGAAGAAACAAGAGGAUAUGUGUUGCUGAUGCCAAGUAGUGAUGAGGCUAUCUUGAGUUGUACUGUUUCUGGCCACUUUGUAGUUGUUAAUUAUGACAGUCAUGCACUAUUGAACUGUGGAGAAAACCAAAGUUGGGGUUGACUCUUCGGUGCCUGAUGUAGUUUUUGUAUGAACAUUAACAUCAAUAACCGUAAUCAAUGAUAUGCUAGAUCUGUGUGGUU